rnacentral:rRNA from 1 species
GACGUAGGGCGCGAGCGUUGUCCGGAUUUAUUGGGCGUAAAGAGCUCGUAGGCGGCUUGUCGCGUCGACUGUGAAAACUCGGGGCUCAACUCCGAGCUUGCAGUCGAUACGGGCAGGCUAGAGUUCGGUAGGGGAGACUGGAAUUCCUGGUGUAGCGGUGAAAUGCGCAGAUAUCAGGAGGAACACCAGCGGCGAAGGCGGCGCUCUGGGCCGGUACUGACACUGAGGAGCGAAAGCGUGGGUAGCAAACAGG